rnacentral:rRNA from 1 species
CUUUUGAUUUAAUUUAAGGUUUUCCCUGCCCGGUGAUAUAAUUUAAACGGCCGCAGUAUUUUAACUGUGCAAAGGUAGCAUAAUCAUUAGUCUUUUAAUUGAAGGCUGGUAUGAAUGGUUGGACGAAAUAUUAGCUGUUUCAUUAUAAUUUUAAUUAGAAUUUUAUUUUUUAGUCAAAAAGCUAGAAUAUUAUUGAAAGACGAGAAGACCCUAUAGAUCUUUACAUUUAAGAUAAUUUUUAUUAUAAAGAUUUUUGUUAAUUAUAAUUAUAUUAAUUGUUUUGUUGGGGUGACAUUAAGAUUUAAUUAACUCUUAAUAUUUAUUUUACAUUAAUCAAUGAGUUGUUGAUCCGUUAAUAACGAUUAAAAAAUUAAGUUACCUUAGGGAUAACAGCGUAAUCUUUUUAGAGAGUUCUUAUCGAUAGAAAGGAUUGCGACCUCGAUGUUGGACUAAGAGAUAGAUUUGGGUGUAGCUGUUCAAAUUUAGAGUCUGUUCGACUUU